CAGUGUUAAAGCUCGUUCCCAUUGAAACGUUUAGGAAUGAAUUUUCUGCCAUCUAGUGUGAAAAAAAUGGAACAUCGGUUAUUAAACAUUCCACCCAUGAUCGCAAGAGCAUCGAACUUCACGAGGCUACAAUAACAUGAAAAGGCUCCACUUUUCAGAAUUAUACAUCGUUGAACUUUUCAUCUAUUAAAAUUAGAGCAGAUGCCAUGUUUACUGUCAGAGAGAAACCACAUCAGUCCUAGACCAGUAGGUGGAAACACCAAAGUGACCAUCUUGGGUGUGGGUAAUGUCAGUAUGGCAUGUUCCCUCAGUAUAUUACAGUCGAGUGUGGCUGAUGAAGUCACCGUGGUGGAUGCUAUAGAGGACUGCAUGGAGAGGAGCUGGACACGCAGCAAGCCAGCCUCUUCCUGAAGACCUCCAAGAUCACAGCCGCCAGAGACUACUCAGACACAGCCAACUCCAAGCUGUGCGUCAUCACUGCAGGCAUGCGUCAGAGGAAGAGGGAGAGUCGUCAGGAUCUGCUCCAGAGGAACAUUUAGGUGUUGAAGCAGAUCAUCCCUCAACUGGCCCAGCACAGCCCUGACACCAUCCUCCUGGUCAUAUAAACCCCUAGUACCUCACUACACCAUGUCCACUUCUUAUAUUCGUAUAUGGAGAAGUGAGUAGGAUAUUAUCAGACUGAUGAGAAGAGUCAAGUCAAACUUAGUUACAUGACUCAUUUUCCCUAAGUAAAGGUUUCUUCCUAGCGUGGAGAAACCCUGUCCAAUAGUAAUUGAGCAUGUAUAUAUUUGUUUCUAACCCUGGCUGGUGGCUAACCCGAUGGUACUGAACUCUGUGGCACUCUGAUGGAUGUGCUGACCUAUGUGGCAUGGAGGCUGAGUGGGUUCCCUCAGAACAGGGUCAGCGGAACCAAUCUGGACUCAACAUCGUUCUCCUACUUGACGGGAGAGGGACUGCAGAUCCACCCUAGCAGUGUCCACGGACACAUCAUAGGAGAGCACCGGGACUCCAGUGGUGCCACUCCCCUGUAUCAGGAGGGGUGCAUCACUUGAGUGGGUUGAGUCACUGACACGGUCUUCCUGUCUGGGUUGCCCCCCCGGAUUGUGCCAUGGCGGAGAUCUUUGUGGGCUAUUCUCCGGCCUUGUCUCAGGAUGGACCUGAGCCCUAGGACCAUGACUCGGGACUACCUGGCCUGAUGACUCCUUGCUGUCCCCAGUCCACCUGCCAUGCUGCUACUCCAGUUUCAACUGUUCUGCUUGCGGCUAUGGAACCCUGACCUGUUCACCGGACGUGCUACCUGUCCCAGACCUGCUGUUUUCAACUCUCUAGAGACAGCAGGAGCAGUAGAGAUACUCUGAAUGAUCAGCUAUGAAAAGCCAACUGACAUUUCCUCCUGAGGUGCUGACCUGUUGCUCCCUCGACAACCACUGUGAUUAUUAUUAUUUGACCCUGCUGGUCAUCUAUGAACGUUUGAACAUCUUGGCCAUGUUCUGUUAUAAUCUCCACCCGGCACAGCCAGAAGAUGACUGGCCACCCCUCAUAGCCUGGUUCCUCUCUAGGUUUCUUCCUAGGUUCUGGCCUUUCUAGGGAGUUUUUCCUAGCCACCGUGCUUCUACACCUGCAUUGCUUGCUGUUUGGGGUUUUAGGCUGGGUUUCUGUACAGCACUUUGUGACAUCAGCUGAUGUAAGAAGGGCUUUAUAAAUACACUUGAUUGAUUGUACUCCAGGCAGUCAUAGACAGGUAAUGAAGAUCAGCAUUGUCCUUGUCACAAGUAAAUGUGUAUCACCAAUUAAUCUCUAGAAACAGGGGCAUAGAUUACUGUUAGAGCAAGUCAGUAUUAUCUUGAGUAUGUAUACACACACAGUAAUAUGGGACUCUAAAGUAGUGGAAAAUGUCUCUUCAGUGGUUAUGAGGUGAUUCGGCUGAAGGGGCACACCCCCUGGGUCAUUGGUCUGAGUGUGUCCAGCCUAGCACAGGUCAUACUGAAGAACCUCAGCACCAUUCACCCUGUGUCCAUCCUUGUCAAGUAUGUGUGUUCGUGUGUGUGUGUUUCCCAGGGCAUGUGUGGGAUAGAGGAGGAGGUGUACUCACCCAGCCCCUGAGGGAGACAGAGGUUCAGGGGCUGCAGGAGAGGGCAUGGUUCCUGGGACAAACCAACAGCGAGCUGAUCCUCUGAGCCACGGAACUCCAGGACAAAGAAUGAAUCAAGCUCAUACAUUAGUUUACACUGAGGUUAACUGAUGUUGUCAUGUGUACAGUAACAACGUCUAAACACUAAACAUGACCCAUCAAGCUCAUACAUGUGAUUUGUAUAUAUUUGUGUUGUAUCAUCAAUAGAUGUCUGUAUCGCAAAACAAAUAUACAGACUGCGUGUGAUGAAUAAAGAGUUAUUGGAAACUGUUUUGCCCCAUCUUCAAUACAUAAAGG
rnacentral:lncRNA from 1 species